rnacentral:lncRNA from 12 species
AAAAAAAAGUGUAAAAUUGCCAGAAAGCUUCAGGGUCCCCAAAGAGCCCAACACCUCAGAGGAGCAGGAGUGGCUUUGCCAUCCUGCCUGUGUCACAGGAGCUCCCAGGGAUCAUCUGGAAGCAUUUGGCUUUACCAUUUGUGCAAAGUGUGAGAACUUGGAGGAAAUAUGCGAACUAUGAAUAAGAGAUCACCAACUUGAAAAGGUUAAAAACCAUCUGAAAACAGCCCAAAAGGGUUGAGCUGCACUGAACUUCAUCAAGCCUUGCCUGGAUAUUUUUAACUCCCACCAGAAGCCAGCAUAUUCAGCCCGUAAAUGAUUUGUUGCACGUAUGAUACACUUGGGUUUCUUUCUUUCCAAGAUUCUUCUUUCUCUCCCAUCUUUCAGAUUGGAAGAUCAGACCAAAAAACUUCAGAAGGAUAUGAAGAAAAGCACAGAUGCAGAUUUGGCCAUGUCCAAGUCUGCAGUGAAGAUCUCCUCAGACCUGCUGUCCAACCCCCUGUGUGAGCAGGAGCCCUCCUUCCUGGAGAUGGUCACGGCCUUCGACACGGCCAUGAGGAGGAUGGACUCCUUCAACCAGGAGAAGGUGGGGGAGCUGGGAGUGCCAGGGGGUCAUGGCAUGCUGGCAGUGUCCUGGGAUCACGGAGUGGUUGGGCUUGGGAGGGGUUUGAGUCACCUCUCACUGUCCCAGGAUGCUCCAGACUCGCCUUGGACACUUCCAGAAAUGGGGAACCCCUCCCAGCCCCUCCCCACCCUCCCAGGGAGCAAUUCCUUCCCAAUAUCCCAUCUAUCCCUGUCCUUUGGCAGUGGGAAGCCAUUCCCUGUGUCCUGUCCCUCCAUGCCUUGUCCCCAGUCCCUCUCCAGCUCUCCUGGAGCCCCUUUAGGCACUAGAACCCCCCCCCCCCCCCC